rnacentral:rRNA from 1 species
CCUACGGGUGGCAGCAGUGAGGAAUAUUGGUCAAUGGACGAGAGUCUGAACCAGCCAAGUAGCGUGAAGGAUGACUGCCCUAUGGGUUGUAAACUUCUUUUAUAAAGGAAUAAAACGAGGCACGUGUGCCUUUUUGCAUGUACUUUAUGAAUAAGGAUCGGCUAACUCCGUGCCAGCAGCCGCGGUAAUACGGAGGAGCCGAGCGUUUUCCGGAUUUAUUGGGUUUAAAGGGAGCGUAGAUGGGUUGUUAAGUCAGUUGUGAAAGUUUGCGGCUCAACCGUAAAAUUGCAAUUGAUACUGGCAGUCUGGAGUACAGUUGAGGUGGGCGGAAUUCGUGGUGGAGCGGUGAAAUGCUUAGAUAGCACGAAGAACCCCGAUUGCGAAGGCAGCUUACUAAACUGUGACUGACAUUGAUGCUCGAAAGUGUGGGUAUCAAACAGGAGUAGAUACCCUAGUAGUC